CCUGUUAUGAUCUCAGCAGAUGCAACCAUGAUGGUCAGGCUCUCAUAGGCAGCUCUGGGGUUGUCAAGGAGUGAUGGUAGUGACAUAACAAGGGGAUGGGCCAGUGGGGACAAUGUGGUCAUGGCCCAGAUGGAUCAUCUGCACAUUGACACAGCAUUGCAGGGGAUUCAGCUCUGUGUUUGUAGCUGCCAGCAUGGUUGAUCUGGGAUAAUGCAUAAUGCUCCAAACUGGCCUGAGAUUAAGCAGCCAAUGUAAACAUAGACCAUUUAUUUCCUCAGAUGAUUCCUGUUCGAUAUGAUCAAGCAAUCUAUACCUCAUUGAAGUCAUCAGAUGGAAAACCAGUAAAGUGACCUGUUGUUUUUCUCAUUUUGCCUCUGAUCCUCGAGCCUGUAUUUUAAUCAGUAGGAGCUAUGGUUAACCCUAUCCUCCAUGAUUUACCCCCAGGACUUUUCUAAAGCUAGUUGUGUUGGUAGACCAGCAUGACACAUUGAGCUAGCAAAUUUCACAUUUAGGAACACAUAGCAUGAAGACAUUUUUAUCUGCCUUGAAUUUCUCACCAUUCAGCUUCAUUGGCUCACAUAUUAUGAGAGAUGGGAGGACAAGUGAAUGAACAUUGUUUGACCAACAGUGACCUGGGAAGAUCUGCAAAUAGUCAAGGUCCAUCAAGGAAUCAAAUGGUCCAUGUGGGCCUGCGGCAAGGUGUGGCAGCAUGAAGUAGAUCCUGACUACUUGACUUGAGCUUCCACUGGGCCAGGAUUAUGGAGGUGUGGGCUUUAUUGCUCUGAAGGCAAAAUGUUUUGGGUUGGACUCCAUCUUGAGCCGCAAGGAGAGGCAGGUAAUAAGAAAGAUGAGUCACAUGCUUUCCAUGAUCACUGUCAGCAUGACUUCGAGAUGCACCAACAGAAGCUGCCAUAGAAGGAGAUACAACCACAAAGCUGGGGAGUUCACCUGGAUUCUGCAAAGCUGGGAGCCACUUGCCAUAACUGCUGAUUGCAUCAAGGGUAAUUGCUGAAUGGAGUUUUUUAUUACAGCUUUGGGAAUCAUUCCCUCAGCGUGAGGCUAUGGAUGAAUUAGCUCCUUCUUUCUAAUAAAAUAAAACCAUUUAUGUAUGUCCCAGA